GCUGUGAACCGCCAUACUUAUACUUUGGAUGCUGAAUUACCAUAUCAUGUAUCUCAUACAUGCCAACCAACUGUUCUUUUGCCACAUCCACCACAUAGCCCCGACGUUGCUCCUUCGGACUUCUGCCUGCAGCUAUAUCUUGCUAUUGCUAUCUUUCGUUCUGCACAGGGUGUUUGAAAUGAGGUUGAUCUGUUUUUGGACUUGCGGCCGCCAAGUUUCUGUAUCAAAGGCUUUGAAAGACUGUUAUAAAAUCAACAAGCAAAGUGAUGGCUAAUUGAAUUUUUGGACUUUAUUAACAAAAAAGGCUUAUGAAUCAUAAAGCCAGUAUAUAUUCUGGUGAGAGAAAUGAGGUCUGUGAAAAAUUCCCUGUCUGUAGAUAUCCUGGCUCUCUUAAGGCAGGUCAACAUGAUUAACGUAGAACAGAAAAGUGGGCUUCUCUUGAAAAAAGACUACAUACCAAGCUUCGAUUUUGUUGAUCAAAAAGUGGAAUCGUCCACCAUGCAACAAAUGAGAAAUUUAAUGUCUCAGUGAAAUUAUAUAUCAGAGAUGAAAGAAUAUGCUAAAUCUGGUUAUUGCAAGAGGUCACAGUCUCGACGAAGGUCAAGAUUCCCAGUUUACUAUUAUUCCAGAAAUUACAGUCGAUAUGAACAGUGGAAUUAUAGUGGAAGUGGAUGAAAACAGUCUCUUCAUUUCCUGUUGAAUUUAGAUCUGAUAAAAUGAAGGAUGAGAAAGAAGCUUGUUAUUACUGUUUGUAUGUAGACAUAAAGAAGGAAAUUCUUAGCAUCAGUUUUAAAAAUUUGACUGCAUUUCAUUACAUCACUUGCAUAGCUGUAGCUUUCUCCAUUUGCAAGAAUUUUUAGGUCAAAGGGACUGUCCUAUACACCCUGUAUAUAUAUAUAUAUUGCAUUGUUUUUUAAUUUAUUCAUUAAAAUGUUCUUUUGGUAAUUGUUUUCACAAGUCUUAUUUAAUAACAAAAUAUACUACUUUUGGAUGCAGGUUAAAUACAAAUUUUCAUGACAAUGUUACUUGAAUUAAAAAGAAAAUUAGAUACCAUAUGUAAGCUGGAAAUACAUGCUAAUAAGAUAACUGCAUAUUUGAAACAAACCGGUAAAGUAAUUAUUAUGUCUUUAAUAUAGUAUUCUUUCCAUAGUAAGUUAUAAUUUUGACCAUUGUCAGUUUCUUUUGCAUCCAUCUUAGUGGAGAAGUACAAAACAAAUUUUAUUGGUAGAAAAGUUACCAAUGAACCUUUUCAUGGUUUCACUUUGUAUAUAUAACCACCUUGAAAAAUGACCAGUAUUUCAGAGAGUGUCAGUAAGCAUCAUUCCUAACAAUAAUUUUCUUGAAGACUACUUCUUAACCUGACAGAUCAUCAAGUAAUUCCCAACCACAAGAAACAUUAAAAUUUUGUUAUCAGCCAAAAUGUUUCCGAGUGCCGAGAAAAUUGAAAAUGUCUUCAGCAGAAAGGUUAUUUUUACGGGCAAGAAAGAUUUUUGCUUUUCUGAGAUGUAAAUUUUAACCUUAUCUUUGUGUAGUAUAAUCUAUCUAAUUGGCUCAUUUGUGACACAAUAUGGAACUUUAAAUGUUUUAUGAUAUUCCUUAAUUGUUUAAAUGAAAUUUUGCAUUUCUUGUGUCUGCAGAUUGAUGUGAUAGGUUGGUCAGAACUAUUACUGUAUAUGGUAAAGGGUUAUGAUCACCAAGAAUAUUAUAAUGUUGAUGAGAUGGGUCUUUGUUAUUGGCUCAAUACCCACUAAAUGAUUGACAUUCUAAUGUUUAAAGGCACAUGUUGCCAAAAUAAUGGGGCUAUGUACCAUUAUUUUAGUGGGGUACUAAAAUCAUUAUGAUCAAAUGUUUAAAGUGUGACUGUGUCUGAGGGUGUAAUGAUAUGUAAAUCAAUAAUCCUGCACAACUAGAGUAAUUUUUUAUUAGCUCUGAAUUCUGUUAACAAGUUUUCAACAGAAAACUGAAAUAGUAUGGGUGUUAAUGGUGAGUCCCACCAGUGGCUAAGAGGUUUAGUCUCCUGAGUGCUGGCAGUUCAACCUGGGGUUAAACCCAAGUGAACUGACUAACUACGGUUUUCAUGGUUUUCUCCAUUUGUAACAUGAAUGCAAGCCAGUUCCUCUCAGAAAGUCCUCCCCUUAAGCAGAUAGGCACAUGUGCAUUGCCUUAUUCAAAUAACUUAACCUGAGCAGGAUCAGUAAAGGAGAAUUCACUGAACUUUUAAAAUAAAUGUGUAUUUAUUUUAAUUUGAAUGCCAUCAGAUUUUCCUUUUUCUUCCUUAGAUCUGAUAAAAUGAAGGAUGAGAAAUAAGCUUGUUAUUACUGUUUGUAUGUAGACAUAAAGAAGGAAAUUCUUAGCAUCAGUUUUAAAAAUUUGACUGCAUUUCAUUGUAGUUUGUUACUGAAAAUUGCAAACUGUAAAACUCUGUAGACAUAUUAUUACAACUUAUGUGUAACCACUGGUCUCUGUAAACAUUUCUAUAGUAAUAAAUAUGUUGUGAUCUUAAGAGCU
rnacentral:lncRNA from 1 species